rnacentral:rRNA from 1 species
AUGCUUGUCAAGCAGGUCCUGUCUGCGAUGGUGGUUUUCCAGAUGAUUGCCCUGGCGCAACCGAUUUGGUUACAUAAACUUGUUGACAAAAUAAGAAGGGGCUUUCUUUGGGAGUGCAAGGAGGUUGCCGUUGGGGGCAAAUGCUUGGUGAGCUGGAAGCUUGUGUGUCGGCCAAAGAUGUAUGGGGGACUUGGGAUCUCCAACAUGCAAGCUCAAGGCAUGGCACUCCGCCUUCGCUGGCUUUGGCAAUCCUGGAACGAGCCGGACAAGCCAUGG